rnacentral:rRNA from 1 species
CGUCGACCGGCGCACGGGUGAGUAACGCGUAUCCAACCUGCCCAUAACUAAGGGAUAAUCCGUAGAAAUGCGGUCUAAUACCUUAUGUGAUCCGAGGAAGACAUCUGAUUUGGAUUAAAGAUUUAUCGGUUAUGGAUGGGGAUGCGUCUGAUUAGAUUGUUGGCGGGGCAACGGCCCACCAAGUCUGCGAUCAGUAGGGGUUCUGAGAGGAAGGUCCCCCACAUUGGAACUGAGACACGGUCCAAACUCCUACGGGAGGCAGCAGUGAGGAAUAUUGGUCAAUGGGCGGGAGCCUGAACCAGCCAAGUAGCGUGCAGGAUGACGGCCCUAUGGGUUGUAAACUGCUUUUGUAUGGGGAUAAAGUGCUCCACGUGUGGAGUUUUGCAGGUACCAUACGAAUAAGGACCGGCUAAUUCCGUGCCAGCAGCCGCGGUAAUACGGAAGGUCCGGGCGUUAUCCGGAUUUAUUGGGUUUAAAGGGAGCGUAGGCCGUGGAUUAAGUGUGUUGUGAAAUGUAGGCGCUCAACGUCUGACUUGCAGCGCAUACUGGUCCACUUGAGUGCGCACAACGCGGGCGGAAUUUGUCGUGUAGCGGUGAAAUGCUUAGAUAUGACGAAGAACCCCGAUUGCGAAGGCAGCUCGCGGGAGCGCAACUGACGCUGAAGCUCGAAAGUGCGGGUAUCGAACAGGAUUAGAUACCCUGGUAGUCCGCACGGUAAACGAUGGAUGCCCGCUUUUCGGUCAUUAGACCGUGAGGCCAAGUGAAAACAUUAAGCAUCCCACCUGGGGGAGUACGCCGGC